AUAGUUUUCGCUCCCCUCUUAUUUCCAAUUGGUGUCCAAAAGAGAGAAAAAGCCAUAGACGAUCUGUAAAGUCGACACUCCUCACUCUCCUCUUUUCCGUCCACUGCUGCGAGCCAUGGCUCCAGGGCGAAAGGUGACAUCAUCCAUUAGGAGAUCCUCUACUCUUUCACUGUCAUAGUUGAGCCCAAUUGAGACUACUGCACAAUCUCAAUCCCAAGAUGUUCCACAACCGGACCCUUUGGGCUUUCCUUUGACACAAUCUAAUGGUGCAGAUUGAAUAUGCAUAAGUUUGGUAGUGGGGAAGAUGGUAUAUAUACGCUCCACUAUGAAAACUUUUUGUUUGGAUAUAUGCUUCUAUGAAGACUUUUUUUGAAUGAAGUUCCGAGUCUUCUUUUCUGGAUAUAAGUUUUAUGAAGACUCGUUUUUGGCUGAAGUUUCGAGUCUUCUUUUUUAAUUUUAAUGAUGCUACUGAACUAUGAUGAACAUAUAUGGUAUGGUCUACCUUUCCUGUUUUUGUCAUGGGGACAUUGAUGCUUUAGACCCUAUGGGUGGAUGGACAUUUUGGUGUAGAGUACAUAUUUCUCAUGGUUAAUGGAUGUCUAAUUUGAACAUGAUUAUAUUGGUUUAUG